UAUAUCAAUCAAAUCCGACGGUGGAGAUAACUCGACAUUGUCAACAGGUCAACUGAUUUAUAAUUAUUUUUCAUCAAAUCCUCUUAAUAAUUAAUCAUCAAUGGCUUCUUCUGCUUCAGCUACUCACCUUGACGCGAAAAUGUCUCUGCUAAUUCGAAGGUUUGUAGUUGUAGGCUUGAUUGUUCUGCUGAGCUUUGCCGUAUUCUGUGAAGCUGAAGCAUCCUAUGGAGCUUACAAAGUCGAAGUCAUCAAUGAAUUCCCUCACGACCCCGAAGCUUACACUGAGGGGCUUCUCUAUGCAGAAAAUGACACACUCUUUGAAUCAACUGGACUUUACGGACGUUCAUCUGUUCGGAAAGUUGCAUUGCUGAAUGGUAAGGUUGAGACUGUUCAUGACAUGCAUGCUUCUGACUUUGGAGAGGGUUUAGCUCUUCUUGGUGAGAGCUUGUUCCAACUAACAUGGUUGCAGGAUACUGGUUUCAUAUAUGAUCGAUACAACUUUAGCAAAUUCAAAAAGUUUACUCAUCACAUGCAAGAUGGUUGGGGAUUGGCAACUGAUGGGAAAGUACUUUUUGGAAGUGAUGGAACAUCAACAUUAUAUAAGAUUGACCCUAAGACAAUGAAAGUCAUCAGAAAACAAGUUGUCAAGUCUCAAGGGCAUGAAGUGCACUACCUCAAUGAGCUGGAGUAUGUGAAAGAGGAAGUAUGGUCAAAUGUCUAUGGGACUGAUUGCAUUGCUAGAAUUUCACCCAAAGAUGGCACUGUGAUCGGGUGGAUUCUUCUUCAAUCUCUGAGAGAAGACUUAAAAUCAAGAGGCUAUAAGUAUUUUGAGGUCCUGAAUGGAAUCGCAUGGGACAGAGACGGUGACCGUAUUUUUGUGACAGGGAAACUAUGGCCAAAGAUAUUCGAGAUCAAGUUGCUCCCCCUCCCACCAAGUGCUCCAUUAAUUCGAAAAAUCAAAAACUUGUGCAUGCCAACACCAUUCUAUCUUGGAAAUUUGGAGAGCUGAUGAUGUUUAUCAUUUCUCAUGAACAUCUAUAAAUUGAGUUUACUAGAAGACUGGAAAUCAUGGACUGGAUGUUAUUUAAUUAAUAAUCAAAAUGGUUCCAAAAAAUUAAAGCAUAACAGGGGACUAGCUGGGUAAAGUAUCAGUGGGAAAAGGACACUCAAUAUUCUUAUCAGGCAACAGAGCACACGGCUGAGGAGUGACUUGGCUAGAAACACCUUUGAUAUUACUGCAGUUCCACUGUAGUUGCUUAGCCUGUUCUGACAACUCGAUGGCCACAUUCGAUAUGCAAAUUCCAUUGAAGGAAGUGCUUUCGGAUCAUAAUGCUCGUCAGGAUGAGCCCCAUAAUCGCCUGUUAUCCAAAAGCUCUCACAUCUUGAAUGCCACCGGACAUUUCGCUUCCGAGAGCAAUGACUGCACUAUCAGGUGAUAUGCAGUAGCUGCAGCACAAGUCUGGAACUGAAUGUUAUCAACAGGCAAAGUAUCAGUGGGAAAAGGACAAUCAAUUUUCUUAUCAGGCAACAGAGCACAGGGCUGAGGAGUGACUUGGCUAGAAACACCUUUGAUAUUACUGCAGUUCCAUGGUAGUUGAUUAGCCUGUUGUGACAUCUCGAUGGCCACAUUCGAUAUGCAAAUUCCGUUGAAGGAAUUGCUUUCCGAUCAUAAUGAUCGUCAGGAUGAGCCCCAUAAUCGCCUGUUAUCCAAAAGUUUUGAUCCUCAGCCCUGAUUCAGAACCAAUUGCUCCAAUGUUUUCAGCUCUCACAUCUUGAAUGCCACCGGACAUUUCGCUUCCCAGAGCAAUGACUGCACUACUAGGUGAUAUGCAGGUGAGGUUUCUUAUGAUUAGGUGCUUUGUAGGCAUUCCAAAUGCUAUCCCAUAUUCAUCAUAGCCACUUUUCACUGCUAUGCAAUCAUCCCCUGACACUAUGUAGCAAUCUUCAAUUCUUGUGUUGGAACAAGAAUCUGAACAACCAAAAAUGAAUUAGUAACUACUUCACUAGGGGAUGUAAUCGAUCUUCUCAUCCCUUAAUUACUUGAA